CAGUCGAACGAAGUAGCAAUACUUAGUGGCAGACGGGUGAGUAACAUGUAGGUAUCUACCCUUUGGCCUGGAAUAACACGAGGAAACUUGUGCUAAUACCGGAUAAGUCUUUACGGAGAAAGCUUUAUGCACCAUUGGAUGAGCCUGCACUUGAUUAGUUUGUUGGUAGGGUAAUGGCCUACCAAGACUGUGAUCAAUAGCUGAUUUGAGAGGAUGAUCAGCCACAUUGGGACUGAGACACGGCCCAAACUCCUACGGGAGGCAGCAGUGGGGAAUCUUGCACAAUGGAGGAAACUCUGAUGCAGCGAUGCCGCGUGAGUGAAGAAGGCCCUUGGGUUGUAAAGCUCUUUCGUCGGGGAAGAAAAUGACUGUACCCGAAUAAGAAGGUCCGGCUAACUUCGUGCCAGCAGCCGCGGUAAUACGAAGGGACCUAGCGUAGUUCGGAAUUACUGGGCUUAAAGAGUUCGUAGGUGGUUGAAAAAGUUGGUGGUGAAAUCCCAGAGCUUAACUCUGGAACUGCCAUCAAAACUUUUCAGCUAGAGUUUGAUAGAGGAAAGCAGAAUUUCUAGUGUAGAGGUGAAAUUCGUAGUUAUUAGAAAGAAUACCAAUUGCGAAGGCAGCUUUCUGGAUCAUUACUGACACUGAGGAACGAAAGCAUGGGUAGCGAAGAGGAUUAGAUACCCUCGUAGUCCAUGCCGUAAACGAUGUGUGUUAGACGUUGGAAAUUUAUUUUCAGUGUCGCAGCGAAAGCAAUAAACACACCGCCUGGGGAGUACGACCGCAAGGUUAAAAACUCAAAUGAAUUGACGGGGACCCG
rnacentral:rRNA from 1 species